AUGCAACACUUCCUCGCUGGUUGUUCCUUCACCCGGCAAGUUUGGCAUGAGAUCCUGGUGUGGUGCCGCUCCACCACCAACCUGCCAUCUCCGGACUUGGAAUUCCGCGAUUGGUUCGCCAUAUCCUUUCAAGACACCUCGACAGCCUUACGACGCGGCCUGACAACCAUCUUCAUCCUCACAGCAGUUUCUGGAAACACCGCAACGAAUGCAUGUUCAAUGGGGACCGGCUUUCAAUUACACGGCUUGUCGCGCAGAUCAAGGAAGACGCUAGAGCAUGGGCUCGCGCCGGGGCCAGGGAACAGCAUUCGAUGA
rnacentral:rRNA from 1 species